CUUAAUAUUUACUUUAUUAUGAGUAUUUAUUUUUGAUUUGUUCUGAACGAUUACUACUGCAUACAUAUAUUUAUUUCUGGUUAGAACUUUCGUUUUCUUGUUUUCCUUGAGAAAAAUUUCUCACCUGUGUUCGAAAUUUUUCUGAUGAGUGGAGGGAGUGUGUAACAUUCCUGUUUUCUUUGGGAAAAAUUUCUCACGUGUGUUCAAAAUUUUUCUGAUGGGUGAGAGGAGUGUGUAACGUUACAAACGUCACAUCUUUGAUAUUUUAUUUUAAAAUAAUUAUUUUAACUUAUUUCCUUUAAUAUUUCAUUAAUAAUUAUCUUCUUCUAAUUGGUUUACCCAUUUUCCCCUUUAAAAAUCGGUUGGCGCUCUCUUUUAUUACCUUCUUUUAUUAUCUUCUAUUUAAUAUAUCUCUUUCAUUUAAAUCAUCAUACUGAACAUACCUCGUAUAUUCAUACUCUCCAAAUAUCUGUAUUUUCAAUACGGAACAUGCCGCUACUUCAUAGUACUUGGUUGUCAUUUUAAAUGUCGUUUUCAAUGACAGUGUCACUUCAUCGACUUGACCCCCUACUCCCUGACAUACACUGGAAGGGAAAAAUUAAUCCUUAAAAAGGCAUGUAAUUCGAAAAAUAAAUCAUUUCUAUUUCAUCAAAUCAUCUCUUGGGUUUUUUGGAAAGAAACCACUUUUCUCCCUCCGGGAGUUUCAACAACCCUCAAAUCGCCGGCGAUACAACAACGAGGACCAUGUCAUCAGGGCUGCAACCACAUAACCAAGACUGCAACGACCAACAUCCGUAGGCCUGGUGGAAUACAACACCUACAACCCCAGAGCCCGUUGCAGAACCAGCAGCAGUACCAUACGACAUCAAGAAGAUACCAUCAGCUACCAAAAGCCAUAAGUAUAAUCCAGAAUUGUUAGUUUUUGGCAAGAAUUUGAAUACAUUUGUUAAUGCAAUUUACUAAGUCAUUUUAUUUAUUAUAUCUUUAUGAACAAUAAACAUGAUUAGUUAAAAACUA
rnacentral:lncRNA from 1 species